rnacentral:rRNA from 1 species
CAAAGUCAUGGUUAAGUGGGAAACGAUGUGGGAAGGCACAGACAGCCAGGAUGUUGGCUUAGAAGCAGCCAUCAUUUAAAGAAAGCGUAAUAGCUCACUGGUCGAGUCGGCCUGCGCGGAAGAUGUAACGGGGCUAAACCAUGCACCGAAGCUGCGGCAGCGACACUAUGUGUUGUUGGGUAGGGGAGCGUUCUGUAAGCCUGCGAAGGUGACCUGUGAGGGUUGCUGGAGGUAUCAGAAGUGCGAAUGCUGACAUAAGUAACGAUAAAGCGGGUGAAAAGCCCGCUCGCCGGAAGACCAAGGGUUCCUGUCCAACGUUAAUCGGGGCAGGGUGAGUCGACCCCUAAGGCGAGGCCGAAAGGCGUAGUCGAUGGGAAACAGGUUAAUAUUCCUGUACUUGGUGUUACUGCGAAGGGGGGACGGAGAAGGCUAUGUUAGCCGGGCGACGGUUGUCCCGGUUUAAGCAUGUAGGCUGGUUAUCCAGGCAAAUCCGGAUAAUCAAGGCUGAGGUGUGAUGACGAGGCACUACGGUGCUGAAGUAACAAAUGCCCUGCUUCCAGGAAAAGCCUCUAAGCAUCAGGUAACAUCAAAUCGUACCCCAAACCGACACAGGUGGUCAGGUAGAGAAUACCAAGGCGCUUGAGAGAACUCGGGUGAAGGAACUAGGCAAAAUGGUGCCGUAACUUCGGGAGAAGGCACGCUGGUGUGUAGGUGAAGUCCCUGCGGAUGGAGCUGAGACCAGUCGAAGAUACCAGCUGGCUGCAACUGUUUAUUAAAAACACAGCA